CAAUGAAUAUCAGUCAAUUUUAUCACGGUUACUUUUCUUAAAUAAGACAUCCUUGAUGACGUAUGCAGCCUUCAAAUGAGACCUCCGGAGGACGCAGCCUCUGAAAUGAGACGCAGCUCACUUUAUAAUUUUAUAAUGCAUCUGUAUUUUAUAAAUAUGAUAAAACUAAAGGCUUUUCUGAGAUAUGAAGGAUGCACUGCUGCUCUAUAGGUACUCAAGAUUAACAUGAGAUUGGCAGAUGAACUCGCCAUAAAACUUGCUUACUUGAAAUUGUUCUUACUAAAUGAAUUUGGAUCUAGUUCCUGUCUUUGUGAUGAAUUGUUUUUCUUUUAAUUGCCAUACCAUUGUUUGCCCAUUACUGCAGAGAGUCUGACCUACACACAGACAUAUCACAUGAUGAUCUGGACAGAACUGUAGCAGAAAUCCAGAACCUCGAGCCCAACUCUGGCUACCGUAUGAUGCAUGGACACUUGAGCUCAAGAGUUGAAAGAGUGUGCGAGUCCCUACGGAGAGUGGAUCCACAGGGAGCACAGCUAUGAGCCUCGUCUCUACACACAUUGAGGCGUCGACAGUUUUCUGUUCCAGCACCUAAUGCCAUGUAACGUACAGAUGGGAACCACAAACUUAUUAGAAAAUCUUUGCACAGGUGGAGGAUAGUGGUCCAUGGAGGAAUAGAUGGCUUCAGCAGGAUGAUUGUGUUCCUAAAGCUGCUACAGAAAACAGUGCUUCUGUUGUGCUGCAGUUUCAUUGAAGCUGUGAACCGCUUUGGAUUCUCCUCCAGAGUGCGAUCCGAUAAGGGCCGGGAGAAUGUUGACGUGGCCUACUUCAUGGUGUCCAAUCGAGGGGAAAACCCACACUCCCACAUCACACGGCGCAGGGUCCAUAACCAAAGGAUCGAGAGACUGUGGAGGGAUGUUUCCCAGCAUGUUCUGGACCUGUUCUCCUGUCUCUUCCUUGAUCUGGAGGCAGAUGGCACAUUAAAUCCUGACAAUGAGCUGCAUCUUUUUGCUCUGCAUUGGACCUAUCUGCCACAGCUUCACAGGCAUCUUGGGUUUUUCCAGGAGGGAAUAAUCAUCAAAUCAGAACAGCAGGCCAUCAGUCUCCACUGCAACUCUGGACAAGCUUCCAACAUAUUCAAGAUCCACACCGGGUGCUUUCAAAUUAAGUUAGUUACCUGAUAAUCAACAUUUUAGUGGAUGACAGACAAGAAACUGAAUUACAAAAAAAUAUUAAAGAAAU